CCUAGGGGGGCAGCAGUGGGGGAUAGUGCACAAUGGGGGGAACCCGGAGGCAGCGACGCCGCGUGGGUGAAGGAGCGUUUCGGCGCGUAAAGCCCUAUCGGCAGGGAAGAAGGAGGACGGUACCUGACUAAGAAGCCCCGGCUAACUACGUGCCAGCAGCCGCGGUAAUACGUAGGGGGCAAGCGUUAUCCGGAUUUACUGGGUGUAAAGGGGGCGCAGACGGCAGCGCAAGCCAGGAGUGAAAGCCCGGGGCCCAACCCCGGGACUGCUCUUGGAACUGCGCGGCUGGAGUGCAGGAGGGGCAGGCGGAAUUCCUGGUGUAGCGGUGAAAUGCGUAGAUAUUAGGAGGAACACCAGUGGCGAAGGCGGCUUACUGGACUGUAACUGACGUUGAGGCUCGAAAGCGUGGGGAGCAAACAGGAUUAGAUACCCUAGUAGUC
rnacentral:rRNA from 1 species